AAGAUGUAGAGCCCUAGAGCUGGUUCAAUUUUUUUUAGGACAUGAAAGAAGUGUUAGUUGAUUUGAUGAAAGUACAGGGCGUGUAAGUGGCAAAAAAUGGAGUAAAUGGGUGUCUAUACAAAUCUGGAAAAGUACAAGGGGUAUUAAGUGCAAAUUCCCCUUUGCUUUGUUCAAGCAUGGAUUCCAGUUCAUAGUCGGAAUCUACGUCCAGACCCACCAAACCAACCCUCUCUCUCUAGCUAAAUCUCUCUCAUCCUACGGAUGUUCCCCAAGGAGACGUUUGAUUGAGCCAUUCACUCAUGACUCAACUGUGCGGUUUGGCUCUCUCUCUCUCUCUCUCUCUCUCGAUUUCCUCAUCUCUGAAUCUGUUAACAAGUGCAGUACAGUAGGUUUUUAAGCAUUAGGGUUUUAACCGUUUCCACCACAUUACGCAAAGAACCCUAAUUGGCAGCUCGAAUAAGGGCACCAUUCUCGAAAAUUUCCAAAACCCUCAAAACACAAGACACGAUCACUGCAUCAUCUAUGGCGUACGAAAACAGCUCUACUAGUCGAGAGCCCAAAAAGACCAAGCAGACCUCUCAAAUCCCCCUUUCGACGGAAUACUCUCAGCCGCUGCUGAGCCUCCCGCCCGAAAUCACGGUCGAAAUACUAUCGAGACUUCCCGUCAAGUCUCUGCUGCGAUUGAGGUGUGUUUGCAAGUCAUGGCGUUCUUUGAUUUCCAAUCCCAAAUUCGCCAAAACCCAUCUCUGUCGAGCAUCUAUGAACACCGAUUAUACCAACCAUAGGCUCAUUUUCAGCCGUUUGUAUCCCCGUACUGAUGUCAAGUCAUGCUCUCUUUACUCUAUUGCGAAUCGGAAUUCUGAUAGUGCUGUUCAGCUUGAUUGUCCUUUGAAAGAUCCUAAUCUUCAAGUUACGAUUUGGGGUUGCUGUGAUGAUUUAGUGUGCAUCGGAACUGAAAGAGAAGUAUUUAUAUGGAACCCAUCUACUAGGAAAUACAAGAGACCGCGGAACGUUGAACUGUCGUGCCAGUGCUAUGCUGACGCGUGGUUUGGGUUUGGCUAUGAUGAGUUUAUUGAUGAUUACAAAGUGGUGGGAUUCUUUUUUGCUAAUCGCACCAAUGGUUUUGAGCCCAUAGUGAAGGUGUAUUCAUUAAGGUCUGAUUCGUGGAGAAGGAUAGAAGACUGUCCUCGUCGUGUUCCGCGAGGUACUUUAGGGACAUUUGUGAACAGGGCCCUCCACUGGAUCAAUUUGUCAGCGAGUAGCGGUUCCAAAGAUAUUAUUGUUUCUCUUGAUUUUGUGAAGGAAACUUAUGGAGAGGUUUCGAAACCUGAGUAUCAAGAUAGUAAUCUUAAAGAAACGGUUUUAGGAGUUUUAAAUGGAUGCCUGUGUAUACUCUGUCAGUACUCCGGUGCUUGUUUUCAUGUAUGGGUAAUGAAGGAAUAUGGUAUUAGAGAUUCAUGGACCACGUUGUUUGUCAUACUUUAUGGGCCACCUCCAUUAUAUUGUCCGUAUUCUGCACCAUUAUGCAUUUUGGAGAAUGGUGAAGUUUUACUAAAUCUUGCUACGCAUACAGUUCGGUACAAACCCAAAAAUGGCACUUUCAGUUUUCCUGAGAUUCAUAAUUGCUCUCCACUUUUUAGUGCGUAUAUCUACAUUGAGAGCCUUGUCUCACCCGACUCCAAUGCUGACAGUGGGGUUCAGUGGCAACACCAACAGUAAAGGGAAUAAAGUGAAUUAUGCAGGAUUAUUUGAUCGAGCUUGGGAUUGAGGAACUGAGAAUGAGGAGAUGUGAUUCCUAGAUUCGGAUAGCUUAUAUUGUUGUCCUCGCGGAGGGAAAUCUUGUAGUUGCUUUUUGUAGAAAAUUGGAACGCAAUGAGCGCUACUCGUUUCGUCGUUUUUGUAAUGUGAAUUUCGCAUGCGAGCUAAUUCUCUUUUCUUUGUUUAUGUAAUGUUAUUGCCACAUGAACGUAACCUUUUAGCCACAAACUUGUUUACAACCCAAUGUGGCUUUGUUACAACCUAUGCUUAUGAGGUCAUAGGAAUUUUCCUGUGCUCUAUUUUAGUUGGCACUUGGCAAUAUUUGACGUUUUAUUUGGAGAUUUAUUUAGGUUUGGCAAGCUGACUCCUC